UACGUAGGGUGCAAGCGUUAAUCGGAAUUACUGGGCGUAAAGCGUGCGCAGGCGGUUAUGCAAGACAGAGGUGAAAUCCCCGGGCUCAACCUGGGAACUGCCUUUGUGACUGCAUGGCUAGAGUACGGUAGAGGGGGAUGGAAUUCCGCGUGUAGCAGUGAAAUGCGUAGAUAUGUGGAGGAAUACCGAUGGCGAGGGCGGCAUCCUGGACCGGCAUUGACGCUGAGGCGCGAAAGCCAGGGGAGCAAACGGG
rnacentral:rRNA from 1 species